AAUAUUGGACAAUGGGGGCAACCCUGAUCCAGCCAUGCCGAGUGUGUGAAGAAGGUCUUCGGAUUGUAAAGCACUUUAAGUUGGGAGGAAGGGCCGUAGGUUAAUACCCUGCUGUUUUGACGUUACCAACAGAAUACGCACCGGCUACCUCUGUGCCAGCAGCCGCGGUAAUACAGAGGGUGCAAGCGUUACUCGGAAUUACCGGGCGUAAAGCGCGCGUAGGUGGUUCAGUAAGAUGGGUGUGAAAUCCCCGGGCUUAACCUGGGAACUGCUUUCAUAACUGCUGAGCUAGAGUACGGUAGAGGGUAGUGGAAUUUCCUGUGUAGCGGUGAAAUGCGUAGAUAUAGGAAGGAACACCAGUGGCGAAGGCGACUACCUGGACUGAUACUGACACUGAGGUGCGAAAGCGUGGGGAGCAAAC
rnacentral:rRNA from 1 species